UUCUCAGUGAUGAAGAAACAAUAGAUGACGAGUCCGAUGAAAUC
rnacentral:sRNA from 1 species